UUGCCUCAGUAACGGCGAGUGAAGCGGCAACAGCUCAAAUUUGAAAUCUGGCCUCGCGGUCCGAGUUGUAAUUUGCAGAGGAUGUCUCGGGCGCGAUACCGGUCUAAGUUCUUUGGAACAGGACGUCACAGAGGGUGAGAAUCCCGUACGUGACCGGCGGUCAACCCCAUGUGAGGCUCCUUCGACGAGUCGAGUUGUUUGGGAAUGCAGCUCUAAAUGGGUGGUAAAUUUCAUCUAAAGCUAAAUACUGGCCAGAGACCGAUAGCGCACAAGUAGAGUGAUCGAAAGAUGAAAAGCACUUUGGAAAGAGAGUUAAAAAGUACGUGAAAUUGUUGAAAGGGAAGCGCUUGCAACCAGACUUGCCCGCGGGUGAUCAACCGUCCUUCGGGGCGGUGCACUCGCCCGCGUUCAGGCCAGUAUCGGUUUCAGCAGCCGGACAAAGACUUCGGGAACGUAGCUCCUCUCGGGGAGUGUUAUAGCCCGGGGUGCAAUACGGUUAGCGGGGACCGAGGACCGCGCUUCGGCUAGGAUACUGGCGUAAUGGUUGUCAGCGACCCGUCUUGAAACACGGACCAAGGAGUCUACCAUCUAUGCGAGUGUUUGGGUGUUAAACCCAUGCGCGUAAUGAAAGUGAACGGAGGUGGGAACCCUUCGGGGGGCACCAUCGACCGAUCCUGAUGUCUUCGGAUGGAUUUGAGUACGAGCAUAGCUGGUGGGACCCGAAAGGUACGUCUAUUUUUUCCUAUUGUUUCGUUUGCCCGC
rnacentral:rRNA from 1 species